rnacentral:lncRNA from 1 species
CAGAUAGCAACGCUCAGUGGUGGUAAGGAGACAAAUGCCAGCUCAGCUUAAAAUGCUACCAAUCUCUGCUUCUUCGCAAGCUCUGUUUUGGGCGUUUAUUUUACUCGCGUGACUCUUAAUUCUCACAAGAAAAGCAGGGGGGCACUCUCUCUGGCCCCCUGCACCGCAUCAGUGUCCCGUAAGUUGAAAAGUGGACGGCCUUUGCAGCAGGGAGACUCCCCUCCUCAUGGAUGUAGUGCGAAUGGCCUGUCUCUUAAGCGACAUGUCUGCUCUGUAAUUCAAAGUGCUUGUGUGAGUGUCUGGAGGCGGUUGGAGGCAUAGCUGUCAACAUUUCCCUUUUUUAAAGGGAAAUUCUCUUAUUCCAAAUAGGAUUCCUUGCAAGAAAAGGGAAAAGUUGACAGCUAUGGUUGGAGGAUGGGUGGCGGCUAACGGACUGAGGUUGAAUCCUGACAAGACAGAAGUACUGUUCUUGGGGGACAGGGGGCGGGCUGGUGUGGAGGACUCCCUGGUCCUGAAUAGGGUAACUGUGCCCCUGAAGGACCAGGUGCGCAGCCUGGGAGUCAUUUUGGACUCACAGCUGUCCAUGGAGGCAUAGGUCAAUUCUGUGUCCAGGGCAACUGUUUAACAGCUCCAUCUGGUACGCAGACUGAGACCCUACCUGCUUGCCAAAGUGGUGUAUGCUGUAGUUAUCUCCCGCUUGGACUACUGCAAUGCGCUCUACAUGGGGCUACCUUUGAAUGUGACCCGGAAACUACAACUAAUCCAGAAUGUGGCAGCUAGAUUGGUGACUGGGAAUGGCUGCCAAGACCAUAUAACACCGGUCCUGAAAGACCUACAUUGGCUCCCAGUAUGCUUCCAAGCACAAUUCAAAGUGUUGGUGCUGACCUUUAAAGCCCUAAACGGCCUCGGCCCAGUAUACCUGAAGGAGCGUCUCCACCCCCAUCACUCAGCCUGGACACUGAGGUUCAGCUCCAAGGGCCUUCUGUAGGUUCCCUCACUGCGAGAAGUAAAGUUACAGGGAAUCAGGCAGAGGGCCUUCUCGGUAGUGGCGCCCGCCCUGUGGAAUGCCCUCCCACCAGAUGUCAAAGAGAAAAACAACUACCAGACUUUUAGAAGACAGCCCUGUUUAGCAAAGUUUUUAAUGACUGAUGUUUUAAUCUGUAUUUUUAAUCUUUUGUUGGAAGCCACCCAGAGUGGCUGGGAAAACCCAGCAAGAUGGGUGGGAUAUAAAUAAAUUAUUAUUAUUAUUAUUAUUAUUAUUAUUAUUAUUAUUAUUAUUAUUAAAGUCCUCUCCCAUUUCUGGGUGUACAUACCUGUAUAGCUCAGGGGAAAUGAGUUCAACCCUUCGUCUUGCUUUGGUAGCAAGUCCAAGCUGCUAGGUUGAGUUGCUGUCCUGUUGACAUAAACACAGCCGUUCACGUUCUCCUGACUCCUGCAACUUCCUGGCAUUAGGGCGGACCUGGUAGCCAGUAGUUUUCAUGAUUCUGUCCUGCUUUUAAUGUUUAUUUUAUUAAAUAAUGUUUUUUCUGUUGCCGCGCACCACUCUGAUAUGUAAAUACCUUUAUGUAAAGUGUGCAAAUACUUCUAUAAAUAAAUAAACAGAAGCCUCUGUGAGAGGCCAAAUGCUAAUUUGGGAGAGAGGGGAACUCCUUUCUCUUCCACUUCCCUUCCUGCUCGUAGUGCUGUUAAUUGCACAGAUUAAUAUCAGUUAAUGCCUAUGCCAUAGUUUUAAUGAAACUGAAUGGAAAGCAGAUAGAUUCUCACGUGUAUUUCCAUUGUCUAUACGGUACACAUUCUAUGAGGGAUAAACAAUCACAUUGCCCAUGUCUGCAUUAGAUCUGUUGCAGCUGUGCAAGCAUCUGUGGCUACACAUGAAGGCGGCUGAUGUCACUGCGGGAAUGGAUAACGCGACAAUAUCUGCUCUUCCCCGGUGGCGACAGGCAGCCUUUCCUUAGCAUUUAAGUUUCCGGAGAGACGCCUCGUUAUUUCAAAUUGAUGGAGAAGGAAAGGAAUC